rnacentral:rRNA from 1 species
UACGAAGGGGGCUAGCGUUGCUCGGAAUCACUGGGCGUAAAGGGUGCGUAGGCGGGUCUUUAAGUCAGACGUGAAAUCCCUCGGCUUAACCGGGGAACUGCGUCUGAUACUGGAUGGCUUGAGUGUGGGAGAGGGAUGCGGAAUUCCAGGUGUAGCGGUGAAAUGCGUAGAUAUCCGGAGGAACACCGGUGGCGAAGGCGGCUUCCUGGACCGACACUGACGCUGAGGCGCGAAAGCUAGGGGAGCAAACGGG